rnacentral:rRNA from 1 species
UAUAGGUUUGGUCCCAGCCUUCCUGUUAACUUUCAAUAGACUUAUACAUGCAAGCAUCCACGCCCCGGUGAGUAACGCCCUUCGAAUCACACAGGACUAAAAGGAGCAGGUAUCAAGCACACACUCUUGUAGCUCACAACGCCUUGCUUAACCACACCCCCACGGGAGACAGCAGUAACAAAAAUUAAGCCAUAAACGAAAGUUUGACUAAGCCAUAUUGACUAGGGUUGGUAAAUCUCGUGCCAGCCACCGCGGUCAUACGAUUGACCCAAGCUAACAGGAGUACGGCGUAAAGCGUGUUAAAGCAUCAUACUAAAUAGAGUUAAAUUUUAAUUAAACUGUAAAAAGCCAUAAUUAUAACAAAAAUAAAUGACGAAAGUAACCCUACAAUAGCUGAUACACCAUAGCUAAGACCCAAACUGGGAUUAGAUACCCCACUUCGUUUAGCCCUAAACACAAAUAAUUAU